ncrna:unclassified sequences DTF805b RNA
AACGGAGAAGCCGAAAACCGAUUAGAGUAGGCA